UACAUACUCCCUCCGUCCGGAAAUACUUGUCAUAUAAAUGGAUGUAUCUAGAUGUAUUUUAGCUCUGGAUAUAUCCAUUUUUGUACAUUUACGCGACAAGUAAUUCUGGAUGGAGGGAAUAUACA
rfam:Hordeum vulgare subsp. vulgare, WGS project CAJW01000000 data, contig: morex_contig_111457